rnacentral:rRNA from 1 species
CGCAUCUGUGCAUGCAGCAUAUCAAUAAGCGGAGGAAAAGAAACUAACAAGGAUUCCCCUAGUAACGGCGAGUGAAGCGGGAAGAGCUCAAAUUUGAAAUCUUAAAGGGUUUCCCUUUACGAAUUGUAGUUUAAAGAAGUGUUUUCUGUUGAGGUUUUGGUAAAAGUUCUUUGGAAUAGGACAUCAUAGAGGGUGAGAAUCCCGUAUUUGACCUUUACUUUCAACUUUGUGAUACACUUUCAAAGAGUCGGAUUGUUUGGGAAUGCAGUCCAAAAUGGGUGGUAAAUUUCAUCUAAAGCUAAAUAUUGGCAAGAGACCGAUAGCGAACAAGUACCGUGAGGGAAAGAUGAAAAGAACUUUGAAAAGAGAGUUAAACAGUACGUGAAAUUGUCAAAAGGGAAGCGUUUGACACCAGUGUUGUUUUUCUGAAAAUCAAUUAAAGAACUGUUUAUGCUAAGUUGUUUAGACUUUAUCAGCUAUCUGCUUAGUUUUGAGCUUUUCUUUAAUGCACUUUUCAGUUAACAAGUCAACAUCAAUUUCUUUUGCUGUAAAAAAGCUUGAGGAAGGUGGCUUGAGAUUCGUCUUAAGUGUUUAUAGCCUCUUGCCUAUGCAGUCGGAGAGAUUGAGGUCUGCAGCGUAGAUCCUUCGGGGCUAAAUGCAUUUGUGCUAAGUUAUAGCAUUUUAUAGACAACUUGUUGACUAUGAUUUGUCUUGUAGCUUACUCGCUUAUGUUAUUUUACCUACGCUUAGGAUGUUGAAGAUGUAGCACAUCAU